rnacentral:rRNA from 1 species
UACGUAGGGAGCAAGCGUUGUCCGGAAUCAUUGGGCGUAAAGCGCGCGUAGGUGGCCUCAUAAGUCCGUUGUGAAAGUCAAAGGCUCAACCUUUGAAAGCCGAUGGAUACUGUGAGACUAGAGUACGGAAGAGGCGAGUGGAAUUCCUGGUGUAGCGGUGAAAUGCGCAGAUAUCAGGAGGAACACCGAUGGCGAAGGCAGGUCUCUGGGCCACUACUGACGCUGAGAAGCGAAAGCGUGGGGAGCGAACAGG